UCCGUAGGUGAACCUGCGGAGGGAUCAGUGUAC
rnacentral:rRNA from 1 species